rnacentral:rRNA from 1 species
GACAGAGGGUGCAAACGUUGUUCGGAAUUACUGGGCGUAAAGGGCGCGUAGGCGGCCAUCUAAGUCAGACGUGAAAUCCCCCGGCUUAACCUGGGAACUGCGUCUGAUACUGGACGGCUCGAGUUUGGGAGAGGGAUGCAGAAUUCCAGGUGUAGCGGUGAAAUGCGUAGAUAUCUGGAGGAAUACCGGUGGCGAAGGCGGCAUCCUGGGCCUUACCUGACGCUGAGACGCGAAAGCGUGGGGAGCGAACCGG